GGCCCUGGCCCUGGCCCUGGUCCGGGUCCUGGCCCUGGUCCUGGCCCUGGUCCUGGUCCUGGUCCUGGUCCUGGUCCCGGCC
ensembl:miRNA Mir3113 microRNA 3113